CUAGCUCAAUAGGUAGGGCGUUUGUCUCAUAAACGAAAGUCCGCCAGUUCGAU
rnacentral:tRNA from 14 species